AUACGGAGGAUGCAAGCGUUAUCCGGAUUUAUUGGGUUUAAAGGGUGCGUAGGCGGUUUGCUAAGCGGGAGGUGAAAUGCCGGCGCUCAACGUCGGAAGUGCCUCCCGUACUGGUGGACUGGAAUGACUCUGCCGUGGGAGGAAUGUGUAGUGUAGCGGUGAAAUGCUUAGAGAUUACACAGAACACCGAUUGCGAAGGCAUCUCACGAAGGGUUGAUUGACGCUGAGGCACGAAAGCGUGGGGAUCAAACAGGAUUAGAUACCCUGGUAGUCCACGCAGUAAACGAUGAUGGCUAACCGCUGGUUUUUUCGGAUCAGUGGCCAAGCGAAAGCGAUAAGCCAUCCACCUGGGGAGUACGACCGCAAGGUUGAAACUCAAAUGAAUUGACGGGG
rnacentral:rRNA from 1 species